rnacentral:snoRNA from 1 species
CCCAACUGUAGACAGCUGCCUAGGUUGCCUUGUCCCUAGGCAAGUGUUACACUGUUGGUAAAAAAGUACCCAAUAGCUGGCAGACAUU